GAGGGUAUAGCUCAAGCGGUAGAGCACAUGCUUAGCAUGCACGAGGUCCUGGGUUCAAUCCCCAGUACCUCUU
rnacentral:tRNA from 1 species